GAAAAAGAGCAAGCGCCAGGACUCCGGGCCUCCCGGCCCGGAGUUGACGAGGUAGACGUUCAUCGAGCUUUCGGCGGGUGCGUCUCGGCCCUCGGGCGGUCGUCAGGGCGGCGACAAAUCCCGGCGGCGACGCCGGGGACAAAACGCCGUCCGGGCCCGAAG
rnacentral:ncRNA from 2 species